rnacentral:rRNA from 1 species
UACGUAGGGUGCGAGCGUUGUCCGGAAUUACUGGGCGUAAAGAGCUCGUAGGUGGUUUGUCGCGUUGUUCGUGAAAACUCACAGCUUAACUGUGGGCGUGCGGGCGAUACGGGCAGACUGGAGUACUGCAGGGGAGACUGGAAUUCCUGGUGUAGCGGUGGAAUGCGCAGAUAUCAGGAGGAACACCGGUGGCGAAGGCGGGUCUCUGGGCAGUAACUGACGCUGAGGAGCGAAAGCGUGGGGAUCAAACAGG